rnacentral:rRNA from 1 species
AAUUUGGCACACUAUCGUCGAGCCUACGCUCCCCGAUAUCCAUCUUUUGACCUGCCCUGUCUGAACAUACCCAUGAUUUUGCGUACUAUUUGUUUCCUUGGUGGGCUUGCUCACCGCUAGGACAACUACACCCUUUUGUAAUUGCAGUCAGCGUCAGAAACAAAUAAUUAUUACAACUUUCAACAACGGAUCUCUUGGUUCUGGCAUCGAUGAAGAACGCAGCGAAAUGCGAUAAGUAGUGUGAAUUGCAGAAUUCAGUGAAUCAUCGAAUCUUUGAACGCACAUUGCGCCCUUUGGUAUUCCGAAGGGUAUGCUCGUUUGAGUGUCAUUAUACUCUCACACUCUCUGAUUAGAGAGCGGUGGACGUGGAUGUUGCCUGGUGCUUGUUGUCAGGCUCAUCUGAAAUGAGUUAGUACGACUCCUAGUUAAACAUAGUACGGCGUUAUAACUAAACCCUCGCUGUUUUUUUGUCUGAUUAGGAGCCUUGUGCUUCGAACCGUCUUCGGACAAUAUCUGAUAACUUGACCUCAAAUCGAGUAGGAUUACCCGCUGAACUUAAGCAUAUCAAUAAGCGGAGGA